AGAUUUUUCAGCGUCGUCUUCAGUGGCUGGAUAAACAGAUCAUUAUUAUUAAAGGCGACAUUACCGGUCGCGGUAACCAGCUUACCGUUCAACGGGAUAUCCAGAUUAAGAUGUCCGCUGACAUCCCCUUUAAUUUGUAACUGUGCCAGGGCCGCAGCCAGCGAUUUUGCCAGUGGAGUCUGUUUAAAGUAAUCAUGAAUAUCACUACCACUGCCCGUAAUGUCACCAUUGAUUAUCAGUUUUUCCUGCCGGUAGUCCGGAAUAUCCGCGGUAACGUUGGCAGCCGUGGCAUUUCCCAGUUGGGCUAGCGGCGCUUUCAUCCAUAAUCCGUCAUUGACAAAAUUCAGAUCGAUAUUCAGAUGGUUAAGUGCAGGCCAGCCUGGCUGGAAAGCAUAAGUCGCCUCCUUUAACGGAA
rnacentral:ncRNA from 1 species